rnacentral:rRNA from 1 species
CCUACGGUGGGCAGCAGUGAGGAAUAUUGGUCAAUGGGCGUAAGCUUGAACCAGCCAAGUCGCGUGAGGGAUGAAGGUUCUAUGGAUCGUAAACCUCUUUUAUAAGGGAAUAAAGUGCGGGACGUGUCCCGAUUUGUAUGUACCUUAUGAAUAAGGAUCGACUAACUCCGUGCCAGCAGCCGCGGUAAUACGGAGGAUCCGAGCGUUAUCCGGAUUUAUUGGGUUUAAGGGGUGCGUAGGCGGCCUUUUAAGUCAGCGGUGAAAGUCUGUGGCUCAACCAUAGAAUUGCCGUUGAAACUGGGAGGCUUGAGUAUGUUUGAGGCAGGCGGAAGGCGUGGUGUAGCGGUGAAAUGCUGAGAUAUCACGCAGAACCCCGAUUGCGAAGGCAGCCUGCCAAGCCAUGACUGACGCUGAUGCACGAAAGCGUGGGGAUCAAACAGGAUUAGAUACCCUAGUAGUC